UACGUAGGGUGCAAGCGUUGUCCGGAAUUAUUGGGCGUAAAGAGCUCGUAGGCGGUCUGUCGCGUCGGAUGUGAAAACCCAGGGCUCAACCCUGGGCCUGCAUUCGAUACGGGCAGACUAGAGUUCGGUAGGGGAGACUGGAAUUCAUGGUGUAGCAGUGAAAUGCGUAGAGAUCAUGAGGAAGACCAGUGGCGAAGGCGGGUCUCUGGACAGUUCCUGACACUGAGACACGAAGGCCAGGGGAGCAAACGGG
rnacentral:rRNA from 1 species